CAUCAGCCCUCCCCUCCGCCUGCAGCCAGCACCUGCUGCAUCUCCUUGUGCUGAUGGCUCCCACCUGCUGCAGCACUGCAAGAGGAGCCCGUUGGGGCCUCGUUGACCUCACCUGGGCCCACACCCACCCACGGGCCCCAUUUAAGCUCAGCCCUGGAAGGCAGCUCUGUAUUUGAGUGUGGGUGCUGUGCAUUGUUUUCAUGGUGGCUUUUGGGGGACCUGCAUGGUGGCAUCCCCCCAGCCCUGCUUGUUCCAUGCAAGGAUCUGUGCCUGUCUGACUGCUUGCUGCACUGGGGACCUGCCAGCAGCCCUGCUGUGACUGCACCCACCUUGUCCUUCUGCUCCUAAUGCAGUGCCAACAUACAAACAUGAACUGUAUCAACAGGACUGCUGCUUAAAUUCUGGUAGUGUUGCAGUGGUGCAACCCCACUGAGACUGUUUGGCACAUUAAGGCUCUCGUCGUGUGCUCUGCUCCACUGCUGCUGGGAUGUGCCCACUCUGACACGUUCGCCUUUUGACACUUGAAAUAUGCAGACACU